rnacentral:rRNA from 1 species
AGUGAACGCUGGCGGUAGGCCUAACACAUGCAAGUCGAACGGCAGCACAGUAAGAGCUUGCUCUUACGGGUGGCGAGUGGCGGACGGGUGAGGAAUACAUCGGAAUCUACUUUUUCGUGGGGGAUAACGUAGGGAAACUUACGCUAAUACCGCAUACGACCUACGGGUGAAAGCAGGGGAUCUUCGGACCUUGCGCGAUUGAAUGAGCCGAUGUCGGAUUAGCGAGUUGGCGGGGUAAAGGCCCACCAAGGCGACGAUCCGUAGCUGGUCUGAGAGGAUGAUCAGCCACACUGGAACUGAGACACGGUCCAGACUCCUACGGGAGGCAGCAGUGGGGAAUAUUGGACAAUGGGCGCAAGCCUGAUCCAGCCAUACCGCGUGGGUGAAGAAGGCCUUCGGGUUGUAAAGCCCUUUUGUUGGUAAAGAAAAGCAGCAGGUUAAUACCCCGCUGUUCUGACGGUACCCAAAGAAUAAGCACCGGCUAACUUCGUG